ACUCUGCCCAGUCACUGUAUUUAGAGGUAGUGCUAAAGGUGACCUGUAAAAGAUUUUUAAUAUCCUUUUUUGCUUCUUUAUGCUGUUUUUAGAAGGAGAAACUGAGCAGUUAGGACAAGAAUUCAAGAUGAAAGGUUGCCUUUAAGGUCCCUGACUCUGGGGUGUACACUGGAUACCGGGCAUUGCUGGAGUCUUGGUGUUUUCUGUCUACUCUGAGAUGGGAGAUUCCUUCUCACACCAGCUGCAUUUGUGAUUUAGCCCAAGCACAGGCUCCCAAAGGCCUAAAAUUCCCUGAAGUAAAAAAGAUCACAAAGUGACAGCUUCAUAAGGCAGAACAAACCCCAUAAAAUAUAAAAGUAAAUGUUGUGUUUAAAGAGAGACCGUCAACCUGAGAAAGGAAUAUGAAGAAGACACUAAGAAUAUUGACAGAGAACAGGGACAGCAGUGCCAGCUAUACUCAUCUUGCCUGCAAACCCCAGCAUCAGGUGAUAAAGAGAGGAAACCUGAUUCGCUUGGAUGUAAAACUCUUGUUGUGCUUGGUUUUGUUUGUUUUUUUGAACACUGAGAUGCAGAAUAAGAAUGUGAAGAAGAGCACAUGGUAUCCCAGUGCAAAACCCAUUUAUAUUUUCUUAUUGUUCCCUCAUUCACAGCCUUAUGAGUAUUUAGGAGUGCUGGAAAUCAUCUGAAGGUCAAAUGAUUUUGGAGAGUUGCUGCUGCCUGUUAAAACCUGCCUUUUAUCCAAAAUGCUUCAGGGGAGAACCUAAGCAGGGAGCUCCUCGUGCUCUGUCCCAGCCCAUGUCUCUCCAUAACAGUGUUCAGUGGCUCAGUGGCCAAGUUUAAUUAGCAGGGAAGCUGCAUUUGAACCAUUCUGCUCGGGGCGACUGAUGUCACCCCUGUCAGGGAGAAUUACUGAGAGGAGCUUCGACAGGGCAAGGAGGGGGUGGGGAAAUUCAUGGCUGUGACUGUUAACAAAAUCCAAGGCAGAUGGCACCCUGACUUCAAAGGACGAUGUGGGUUCAAGGCCUACCAAAAGUGCCUGUCACUGCAUUUUUGCCACCAGCCUGGCACAAGAGCUGGGAGUCCUGUCCCACCAGCCCCUACAAACAACUAGGGAACAACGUCUGUGUCUUCUUUGGGCUCCUGCAGGGGGAUUCUAUCUUUGAUCUCUUUGCACUGAAUACCACACUCUUGUAUAAUAUUUCCCACACAUACAAAUCCAAGUAUUUUUUUCCUAGACAGGCAAUAAAUAUUUAUCUACCUUCCUUUUCCAGAUCUUUCUCCUCUCCAGUAUAAAGAUCUCACCAUCUCUGGCAUCUGUUUGGUUCAAACUAAGAUGGAGCUCUUAAUCCCUCACCCCCCAGUCUUAACUCUCUGUUGUCAUCGCUCAUUACUGUCAUCAAGUCAUCAUUCUGCAUUUAAUCAGAACUGGAUGUUGGCUUUUGGUUUUGAUCUGGACUGCUUUGUAAGGCUGUCACAUUGUUAAAGUAGGGAAUUCUGAUUCACUAGAAAUUCUAAAAUAAAAUUUGGAUUUUUUUUUUUUCAAGAAGGUACAGUUUACUUCUGGCACAGUUACUGAAACAAAAAGAUUGGUAAAAAUCCAAGUGUAUUAUAGGUCGGACUAGAGAGGUGCAAUGGUCUUUCCUGGCCUUAAAAAUCUUUUAAGAUACCAUUUUUCCCAGCCAUACACAUGACUGUUGCUUGCUUAGGCAGCAUCCUUGUCUCAGAUUUUGAC